ACUCUUCAUCAACAAAUAUCAGCAAACAACAAAAACACGAUAUACAAUACCGCUAUCAACCAAAAUCAAACCCGACCUAUCAACGACGGCUCCAACCCGCAGUACCUCCGACCCGUCUCCAACGUCGACCCAAGCAGCUCUGACCUAGCACCGGUGAGCCAACGGCGACCCGAUUCAACGCUAACAGUGGAGAACCCCAAAACCUGCGACCCAAUAUCAACGAAACAACCCGAAUCAAUUGCAAAAUGACGCUGCAAUAGCCAGUAAAAGCUAUCCAUUUGAUUUUCAAAAUCUAAUACCAAAAUGGUACGAUUACAAAUUGUCCUUAUCCCUUUUAUCAACAUUUGAAAUUAUUCCCUUCGAAAAAAUCGAAAAUUGCCCCCUGAUUUCUCCUAUCCCACAUCGAUGGAAACAAAGGGUUGAGCCCAAAAUCCCCUCUUUUUAGUACAAGUCUUGGAGGGGAGAAAAACCUUUGAGCACAAUUCAGUCUCUUUUUAGUAAAAUUUUAUUUUUGUGAAAUUCGUUGGCGUGUUGACGACGACAAUGUUUUCUGGUGGUUGAUCCCGACGAAGUUCGUGGUCACGUUUUACUACCUCAAAAGAGUCCACAAUGAAUUCCCUCCCAUUCCAUUUUCGAAUGGGCCAAUAAGGCCCAUUGCCUCAAAGUUCAAGACAAAAAUCAAUCUCAUGGAAUAUGGAUACAACGAGUUGAAA